rnacentral:rRNA from 1 species
CCCUUAGAGUUUGNUCCUGGCUCAGAUUGAACGCUGGCGGCAUGCUUUACACAUGCAAGUCGAACGGCAGCACGGGGGCAACCCUGGUGGCGAGUGGCGAACGGGUGAGUAAUAUAUCGGAACGUACCCAAGAGUGGGGGAUAACGUAGCGAAAGUUACGCUAAUACCGCAUACGAUCUACGGAUGAAAGUGGGGGAUUCGCAAGAACCUCAUGCUCGUGGAGCGGCCGAUAUCUGAUUAGCUAGUUGGUAGGGUAAAAGCCUACCAAGGCAUCGAUCAGUAGCUGGUCUGAGAGGACGACCAGCCACACUGGGACUGAGACACGGCCCAGACUCCUACGGGAGGCAGCAGUGGGGAAUUUUGGACAAUGGGCGCAAGCCUGAUCCAGCAAUGCCGCGUGAGUGAAGAAGGCCUUCGGGUUGUAAAGCUCUUUUGUCAGGGAAGAAACGGUGGGAGCUAAUAUCUCCCACUAAUGACGGUACCUGAAGAAUAAGCACCGGCUAACUACGUGCCAGCAGCCGCGGUAAUACGUAGGGUGCAAGCGUUAAUCGGAAUUACUGGGCGUAAAGCGUGCGCAGGCGGUUGUGCAAGACAGAUGUG